rnacentral:rRNA from 1 species
AACGAACGCUGGCGGCAUGCCUAACACAUGCAAGUCGAACGAGACCGCCGGGUCUAGUGGCGCACGGGUGCGUAACACGUGGGAAUCUGCCCUUUGCUUCGGAAUAACAGUUAGAAAUGACUGCUAAUACCGGAGGAUGUCGAAAGACCAAAGAUCUUUCGGCACAGGAUGAGCCCGCGUAGGAUUAGGUAGUUGGUGGGGUAAAGGCCUACCAAGCCGACGAUCCUUAGCUGGUCUGAGAGGAUGAUCAGCCACACUGGCACUGAGACACGGCCCAGACUCCUACGGAAGGGAGCAGUGGAGAAUAUUGGACGAUGGGCGAAGGCGUGAUCCAGCAAUGCGGGGUAAGUGAUGAAGGGCUUAGGGUUGUAAUGCUCUUUUAGCCGGGAUGAUAAUGACAGUACCUGGAGAAUAAGCUCCGGCUAACUACGUG